rnacentral:rRNA from 1 species
AGAGUUUGAUCAUGGCUCAGGAUGAACGCUAGCGAUAGGCCUAACACAUGCAAGUCGAGGGGCAGCACAUGAAGUAGCAAUACGGAUGGUGGCGACCGGCGCACGGGUGAGUAACGCGUAUGCAACCUGCCUACAACAGGGGAAUAACCCGUUGAAAGACGGACUAAUACCCCAUAACACAGGGAUCCCGCAUGGGAAUAUUUGUUAAAGAUUUAUCGGUUGUAGAUGGGCAUGCGUUCCAUUAGCUUGUUGGUGUGGUAACGGCUCACCAAGGCAACGAUGGAUAGGGGAACUGAGAGGUUUAUCCCCCACACUGGUACUGAGACACGGACCAGACUCCUACGGGAGGCAGCAGUGAGGAAUAUUGGUCAAUGGACGCAAGUCUGAACCAGCCACGUCGCGUGAAGGAAGACGGCCCUACGGGUUGUAAACUUCUUUUGUAAGGGAAUAAAGUGUAGUACGUGUACUAUUUUGCAUGUACCUUACGAAUAAGGAUCGGCUAACUCCGUGCCAGCAGCCGCGGUAAUACGGAGGAUCCGAGCGUUAUCCGGAUUUAUUGGGUUUAAAGGGUGCGCAGGCGGGAGAUUAAGUCGGCGGUGAAAUUUUGCAGCUCAACUGUAAAAGUGCCUUCGAAACUGGUUUUCUUGAGUGUGGAUGAAGUAGGCGGAAUUUGUGGUGUAGCGGUGAAAUGCAUAGAUAUCACGAGGAACUCCGAUUGCGCAGGCAGCUUACUAAACCAUAACUGACGCUCAGGCACGAAGGCGUGGGGAUCAAACAGGAUUAGAUACCCUGGUAGUC